GCAAGUCGAGCGGAAACGGAGAUAGCUUGCUAUCAGACGUCGAGCGGCGGACGGGUGAGUAACGCGUAGGAAUCUACCUAUUAGUGGGGGAUAGCCAUUGGAAACGAUGAUUAAUACCGCAUACGCCCUACGGGGGAAAGGAGGGGACUCUUCGGAGCCUUUCGCUAAUAGAUGAGCCUGCGUAAGAUUAGCUAGAUGGUGGGGUAAAGGCCUACCAUGGCGACGAUCCCUAGCUGGUCUGAGAGGAUGAUC
rnacentral:rRNA from 1 species